GUCAGGAUGGCCGAGUGGUCUAAGGUGCCAGACUCAAAAUUUGGAGGCGAGCGUUCAAAUCCCUCUUCUGACA